rnacentral:rRNA from 1 species
AUUGAACGCUGGCGGCAGGCCUAACACAUGCAAGUCGAGCGGAGCGGCAGAAGGGAGAGUAAUGACUAGGAAUCUGCCUGGUAGUGGGGGAUAAGGUUCGGAAAAGGGCGCUAAUACCGCAUACUCUCAGAUGAGGCGAGGUCGGAUUAGCUAGAUGGUGGGGUAAAGGCAUACCACGGCGACGAUCCGUAACUGGUAUGAGAGGAUGACCAGUCACACUGGAACUGAGACACGGUCCAGACUCCUACGGGAGGCAGCAGUGGGGAAUUUUGGACAAUGGGGGAAAGCCUGAUCCAGCCAUCCCGCGUGUGUGAAGAAGGUCUUCGGAUUGUAAAGCACUUUAAGUUGAGAGGCGUUAUCUGCAGAAUAAGCACCGGCUAACUACGUGCCAGCAGCCGCGGUAAUAC